rnacentral:rRNA from 1 species
GGACUACCGGGGUUUCUAAUCCCGUUCGCUCCCCUGGCUUUCGUGUCUCAGCGUCAGCACACUCCCAGUUACCUGUUUUCACCAUUGGCGUUCCAAAUGAUAUCUACGCAUUUCACCGCUCCACCAUUUGUUCCGGUAACCCCUAAGUGGCUCAAGACACCCAGUAUACCGAGCAGUUCCACGGUUAAGCCGUGGGAUUUCACAAGGUACUUAGGCAUCCGCCUACACACGCUUUAAGCCCAGUGAUUCCGCCUAACGCUCGGCACCUCUGUAUUACCGCGGCGGCUGGCAC